GACGAACCGUGCGAACGUUAUUCGGAAUCACUGGGCUUAAAGCGCGUGUAGGCGGGUCGCCGCGUCGGUCGCUGAAAGCCCCCGGCUCAACCGGGGAACGGGCACCGAAACGGGCGGCCUGGAGGGGAGUAGGGGGACCUGGAACUUCCGGUGGAGCGGUGAAAUGCGUUGAGAUCGGAAGGAACGCCCGUGGCGAAAGCGAGGUCCUGGGCUCCUGCUGACGCUGAGACGCGAAAGCCAGGGGAGCGAACGGG
rnacentral:rRNA from 1 species